CAGGAGGGGAAGAGGAGGAUACUGGGAACUGUAGUAGAUCUCAGCACAGCACAGAGAACGGUGACACCCUUAUAGGGUGCCCCACGAGGGUAUUGUGGGAGUUGUAGUCCAUUUCUAACCGGAGACUGAGCAAAUGGCAGAUAAGGGGGCGGGACUUUCUGGACGACUAGAAUCAUGGGAAGAGAUUAGUGGCAUGAGACGCCUACCUGGGAAAGGCACGAACCCAAGACCAAACCAAACCUCUUGUCGUGGAGUCGAUUCGGAUUGAUAGCGACCCUGUAGGACAGAGUAGAACUGCCCCAUAGAGUUUCCAAGGAGCGCCUGGUGGAUCCGAACUGCGGACGUUUUGGUUAGCAGCUGUAGCUCUUAACCACUACACCACCAGGAUUUCCGGAAGAGGCACCAGAACACGAUAAUGUGGGAAUUGUAGUUUUAUCCCAUACACCCAAUUGUUCAUUUUUGUAUUUUCAGCGCUUUGAACAGUGCCUGGCACGUGGUAGACACGUAAGUACUUGUCAAAGCCUGACUUAAGGUAGGCACUCAAAUGCUUGUCAAAAGAAUGGAUGAAUUGCAUUCUACUCCUGUAGAAUUCUUUGACCCUGUCAUCCAUCAUCCUCUCUCCCCUUAGACUAGUACCGAAUUGAACAUUACCCAGGUGUUUUAAGGUUUUAAAAUAUGUUUAAAUGCUGUUAAUAGAAAAACUUUUCAAGCAAUUUAGUUAUGACCGCUUAUCAAGAUUACGAAAAUUUCCUGCAAAGGAAAAGGACUGUAUCAGGCCAAUUUGAAGAUUUACUCUUGGCCUAGAGGCCUUGGUUCCAAAGGGAGGAAUGUGCCCAUCAGGAGACACAACACUGAUUCCAUUGAACUGAAAGUUAAGAAUGCCAGCCAGCCACUUUGGGCUCCUCAGCCUCUGGAUUAACAAGCAAAGAAGGGAGUUACCAUAUUGGCUGUUGUGAUUGAUCCUGAUUAUCAAAGGGAAAUAGGAUUGAUGCCACAUAAUGAAGGUAAGAAGAGUAUGCAUGGAAUACAGGAGAUCUCCUAGGAUGUUUCUUUGUACUACCAUGACCUGUGAUUAAAGUCAAUGGAAAACUACAGCAACCCAACUCCAACAUGAGUAUUAAUGGCCCAGACCUUCAGGAAUGAAGGUUUGAGUCAUUCAACCAGGCAAAGAACCAUGACCAGCUGAGGUGUUUGCUGAGGGCAGAAGGAAUACGGAAUGAAUGGUGGGUGGAAGAAAGUAGUUCUAUGUUACCAGCUAUGAGCACAUGACCAGUUGCAGAAAUGAGGACUGUAAUUGUUUUUUGUAUUUCUUGCUUGUUUUGUAUGGGUACCUAUGUAUAUGUAAAUAUGUGUGUGCAUGCAUGCAUAUAUAUGUAUAUAUGUGUGUGUAUGUACGUAUGCGUGUGUGUGUAUAUAUAUAUAUAUAGCAACUAUCUUUGUUUUCGUCCCUCCCUUAUUUUAUUACUUAUUAUAAAAUAGAAUACGUAAACUGGGUUUGUGCAUUUUUGGUGGUAUGCAUGUUAUUUGUAUCACGUUAGGCACAAGUAUGACUUUGUAAUUGUCUUUAUUUAGAGAUCAUGUAUGGUUUAAGGAGAUGUGUACCGGUGCCAGGUUGACAAGGGGUAGACUGUGAUGGUUAAGGUUGUGUGUCAACUUGGCUGGACCAUGAUUCUCAGUGGUUUGGCAGUUAUGUAAUGAUGUAGUCUGGCAGUUAUAUAAUGAUGUAAUUUGGCAGUUAUGUAAUGAUGUAAUCACUUUCCAUUUUGUGAUCAGAUGUAGUCAUCCCCAUUUUGUGAUGUGAUGUGAGCAGCCAAUCAGUUGAAAAGGGAAUUUCCUUGGGGGUGUGGCCUGCAUCCAGUAUAUACGGAUGUUCUAGCAAAGUUCGCUUUUUCUGGAUCCUGCAUCUGACUUGUCAUAGUCUGAUCUGUGCUUCCUGCUGUCUGAUCUGCAGAUUUUGGGAUUUGCCAGCUCCCACAGCCCAUAAUCCAACAGUCUGCUGUCGGACCUGCCAGUUUUGGGUUUGUCAGCCCCUGCAAGCCUCCAGCCUGAUGCCAGACCCACAGAUUUGGGACUUAACCAGUCUCCACAACUCUUUCUUGGAACAUGAGCCAGCAGCCUGCCGUCUGAUGUGCAGAUUUUGGGUUUGUCAGCCCUGCAACUACAUGAGUCAGUCGAGAAGCCUCCAGCCUGACAUCUGACCCACGGAUUUAUGACCUGCUAGCCUCUACAGCUGUAGCAGAGAGAGGAUCUUACCGCCACAAAGGAAGAACAGCCAGGAGUGGAGAUCGCGUCAUUUGGACCUGGGAUCCCUGCAUGCAGAAGCUCCUGGAACCAGGAGAUCGAGAGAGAGAGCAAGCUGUAACUCUGAAGACAGUGAGAAGUGGUGGCAGGAGAGACCAGCCAGAGACUGUGCAUUGGGCUUCCUGGCCCACAGAGUGAGAAAGGUGAGUGCCUGGGGUGCCUCUGGGUACUUAUUUCUAUUAUUCUUUUCUCCACAGCCCUCAGACUUAGUCCCACAAUUCUGUGGUCUCCCCAGUAACCUUGCCAGAGGUUUCCUCAUAGAAAAUAUGUGAGGGCAUCUCUGCAUCCCUGAUUGAGUAGAUUCCAAAAUCACAGUGACCCUAUAGACAGAGCAGAACUGCCCCAUAGGGUUUCCACGGAGCAGCUAGUGGAUUCGAACUGCUGACCUUUUGGUUAACAGCCAAGCUAUUAACCACUACACCACAAGAGCUCUGGGGACUUAUUGACAGGGUCUAAAGGAGUUUUGUAACACUUGCCUGAGCAGGGCAGAGGCCUAGGGCCAGAGAGAGGUGUCUGUGAGCACAGCUGUCCUGAUGGAAGAAGUGUAUCCCGAGUGUUCCUGAACCUGAAUUAUAACCUAUUCCUUCCCUAAUAAACCCCAUAAUUAUGAAUAUUGACUGUGUGUUCUGUUUGGCCGUUGCAAUGAAUUAUUGAACCCAGUAGAGAGUGCUGUGGGAGGGACAGUUGGUGUCAGAGUUGGUAAAGAUGGCAGAGUGAGGAGGCAUACCUAACCUUCACCUCAUAAGAAUCAGCCUUGGGUGGUUGAUCUUGAUUCUCAUCCCUCCUUGUGAAGUUAGAGGAGGUCAGACAUUGCCCCUACUCCAGUUUUACAGCUUGCUUUCCCUCUUAUGCUUUUGAACAGUUUAAUAGCAUUGGCAGCACGGUGAUUAAAAGCUCAGGCUGCUAAACAAAAAGUUGGCAGUUCAAAUCCACCAGCUGCUCCUUGGAAACUCUAUGGUGCAGUUCUAAUCUAUCCUAUAGGGUCGCUAUGAAUCAGAGUCCACUCAAUGGCAAUGGGUUUGUUUUUUUUUAAUAACAUUGGAACUAUCAAGUGAGUAAAUUAUAAAGCUACAGUGUCCGGUACUUGGACAGAUUGGCCCUUAUCCUCCCUCGAAUCAAAUGACAGUUUGUAGGGUGACCUCUCAGCAGACUUGUUGCCAGCCUUGUGAGCUAUAGUCUCAGCAGGCACAGAAGUAAUGUUGAAUGAAAGAUGUAAAAUUUACUUUCUGGAAGCUUCAGGGAGCCGGAAAAGGAGGAGAAGGAAAAGGGAUAGGAGGAGGAGGAAGUUAAUUGUGUUGUUUGGACAAGAAUUUAGUUGAACAAAUACGUUUCCCUUUAGCCCACCACAAGACAGGCAGGCCUGAUUAAAUAGGACAAAGGAAAAGGAAUUUCUAUUAUUCUUUUCUCCACAGCCCUCAGACUUAGUCCCACAAUUCUGUGGUCUCCCCAGUAACCUUGCCAAAGGUUUCCCCGUAGAAAAUAUGUGAGGGCAUCUCUGCAUCCCUGAAACAAGGUCUGGAGUUGUCACUUGCUGACAAAUGGCUAAACACUGUUGACUUAGUGGCUUGCUGGUUCCUUUUUUUUUUUUGAUGAAGGUGGUGGUGUUUGAUUCACUAUUCGGCUUGAUUUGGCUCAUUCAAGACCCAGUGGCUUUUUGCAGUAUAUCUACUACCUAGGGAAGUGCUGGGGUGGUAGGGUCUAGAAAAAAAAGUUCAGUAUAUUACAAAUGAGAAACUUCUGGCUAUGUCUGCAAACAGAAGUGGCUGCCUACAGAGGCUUGACUGUACCAUCAGACAGCCGCUGAACAAGAAGACUGGGUGACUCCCAUGAUUCUCCAAGUCCACAAUUCUCUGAAAUGGGAAGGUUUUGAAGACGUUAUCAUCUUUAAAAUGGGCUUUGAACUAGAUCAUCUCUACAUUCCUCUUUAACUGUCGUAGUUAAUGAGUUGGUAUAGCUCAGAGACUAAGAGCAUAUACUGUAGAUUCAGAAAGAUAAUAGCGUGAAUCCCAUUUCUGGUUGAAUUAACUAUAUGAUGUUGGUCAAAUUACUGAACCCCACUGAGCUUCAGCUUAUAUAUAAAAUGGGAACAAUCACAGAAUCUAUCUUAUAAGGCUGAUGUGAAAACAAAAUGAGAUAUUGGGCAUAAGCUUCAGGCAUGGUGUCUGGAUCUUAGAAAGGAUACCAUUAUUAUUGUUGUUCUUCUUAUUAUUUUGUAAACCUUCUCAAACUGAUACUUAAGUCACUAAGUUAACAGCCCUUAGAGCGAUACUGGUAAAAUUCAGGUCUGUAUCUGAGUUAGAUAGUAGCUGAGAAUUUGCUUAAACCAUUCAGCCUGAUGGUCAGUAGGACUCUUCUUUGCUUCCAAAUCUUUUGUCUUAGGGAAAUCUUCAUGGAUGCCUAAGACCUGUCCUCAGAAAGUAUAUGGAUGGUUUUGGAUAGAGAGACUAGACUCCAAGUAGGAAAAUCUGGUUGCUGUUUCUGAUUGGUCAUCAGGGGAACAGAGGCCAUGUUGGUGGAUUCACCAUCUCCCUGUACCAUUUUUUCUUAAAAUUGUGCUUUAGUUGAAGGUUUACAGAACAAAUUAAUUUCUCAUUAAGCAAUUAAUACACAAAUUGUUUUGUGAUGUUGUUUGCCAACCCCAUCACUUGUCAACACUCUCCCCUUCUUGACUUUGGGUUCCCCAUUACCAGCUUUCCUGUCCCCUUCUGCCUUCUCAUCCUUACCCCUGGGCUGGUGUGCCCACUUAGUCUCAUUUUGUUUUAUGGGCCUGUCUAAUCUGUGGCUGAAGGGUGAACCUCAGGAGUGACUUGCCCUAGCUAGGAUUUCCAGUACAAUAUUAAAUAGGAGUGGUGAUAAAGACAUCUUUGCCUUAUUUCUGUUCUCAGGGGGAGUGUUUUCAGCUUCUCUCCAUUAAAAAGAUGUUGGCUGCUGGUUUUUUAUAGAUACCUUUUGUUAUAUUGAAGAAUUUCCCUUCUAUACCUAUUUUAUUGAGAGUUUUUAUCAGGAAUGGGUGUUGGACUUUAUUGAAUGCCUUUUCUGCAUCGAUUGAGAUGAUCAUGUGAUUCUUUUCUUUUGUUCUAUUUAUGUGGUGGAUUACUUUGAUUUUCUAGUGUCGAACCAUUCUUGCAUACCUGGUGUGAAUCCCACUUGGUUGGGGUGUAUUUUUUUUUUUUUAAUGUGAUUCUGAAUUCUAUUGGCUAGAAUUUUGUUGAGAAUUUUUGCACCUCUAUUCAUGAGAGAUAUGGGUUUGUAAUUUUCUUUUUUUGUGGUAUCUUUGUCUUGUUUUGGUAUCAGGGUUAUGCUGGCUUCAUAUAAUGAAUUUGGAAGUAUCCCUUCACUUUCUAUGUUCUGAAAUAGUGUGAGCUUUUUUCUGAAUGUUUGGUAAAAUUCUCCAGUGAAGUCAUCUGGGUAAGGGCUUUUUAUUGUUGAGAGAUUUUUUUUUUUAAUUACCUUUUCAAUCUCUUCUCUUGGUAUGACUCUGUUCAGGUUGUUUACUUAAGUUUGUGUUAGUUUAGUAGAUAGUGUGCUUCUAGAAGUGUGUCCAUUUCCUCUAGGUUUUCAGAUUUCUUGGAGUAUAGUUUUUUGUAGUACUCUGUUAUGAUCCUUUUUAUUUCAGCUGGAUCUGUUGCAAUGUCUACCAUUUUAUUUCUUAUUUGCUUCCUCUCCUGUUUUUCUUUUGUCAGUUUGGCCAGUGGUUUCUCGAUUUUGUUGAUCCUUUCAAAGAACCAACUUUUGGUUUUGUUGAUUCUAUUUUCUAGUCUCUAUAUUUCAUUUAUUUCUGCUCUGAUCUUUAUUAUUUCCUUUCUUCUGGUAGUUGUGGACUACUUUUGCUAUUCUGUUUUUGUUUGAGUUGUUUAGCUAAUGUUUUGAUUUUGUACCUUUCCUCUUUUUUGAUGUGUGCAUCUAUUGCUAUAAAUUGACCUCUGAGGACUGCCUUUGCUGUAUGAUGUGUUUUCAUUCUCAUUUGAUUCUAGGCAUUUUUUUUAUCCCAUCUUUGAUUUCUUCUAUUCCCCAGUGAUUUUUAAGCAAGGUGUCAUUCAGUUUCUAUGUAUUUGAUUUUUUUCCCUUGAUUUUCCUUUUAUUAAUUUCUACUUUUAUGGCAUUGUGAUUGAAGAAGAUGUUUUGUAUUAUCUCAGUGUUUUGGAUUUUGUUGAGGGUUGCUUUGUGAUCUAAGAUGUGGUCUGUUUGGGAGAAUGUUCCAUGUGCAUUGGAAAAGAAUGCAUACUCUGCUGCUGUUGGGUGGAAUAUUCUAUAUAUGCCUAUGAGGUCAGGUUGGUUAAUUGUGGCCUUUAGAUCUUCUGUAUCUUUGUUGAGUUUCUUUCUUGGUGUUCUAUCCUUUACCAAGAGUGGUGUGUCGAAGUCUCCAGCUAUUAUUGUGGAGCUGUUGAUUUCUCUUUUUAGUGCUGUUAGAGUUUGUUUUAUGAAUUUUGCAGCCCUGUAAUUGGGUGUGUCGAUAUUUAUUAUGGCUAUAUCCUCAUGGUGGAUUGUCCCUUUAAUCAUUAUAUAACAUCCUGCUUUGUCUUUUAUAGUGGGUUUUGUUUUAAAGUCUAUUUUAUCUGAGAUUAGUAUUACCACUCCUGCUCUCUUUUGGUAACUGUUUGCUUGAUAUAUUUUUCCAUUUUUAUAUUUUUAAUAUGUUUAUUUCUUUGCUUCUAAGAUGUGUCUCUUGUAGACAGCAUAUUGAUGAGUCCUCUUUUUUUUUAAUCCAUUCUGUCACUCUCUGACUUUUUAUGAGUGCAUUUAAGCCAUUUAUGUUCAGCGUUGAUUAUUGAUAGGUGUGAGUUCAUUGCUGUCAUUUUGAGUGCUUUUUUUUGUGGUGUUGACAUUUUCAUUGCUCCUUGUUCUCUCCUGUAUUGAAUUCCUUUUGUUUGUGGGUUUUUUUCAUUGCUUUUGUCUUUGUAGAUUUUGUUUUUACUGAGGCUUUGUGUUUUUCUUCUUUAUUUUGAUGAGUACGUUUGUUAACUUUCUUUUUGGUUACCUGGACAUUUACCCCAUCUUCCUAAAUUUAAACCAGGCUUUUAUUUCUUGAUAUUACCUUGACUUCUUCUUCCUUUGAAAGCUCUAUACCUACACUGUUUAUUCCCUCUUUUAUUGUUCUGAUGUUUUUCUGAUUUACAGAUUGACCUCUCUGGUUCCCUGUUGUAAAUCUUUUAGUUUUGUUUUAUCCUUGAGAAUUCAUUACCUAGGUUGGUAUCUGGCCAAUGUUGUCCUGUGUCCUAGAUUCAAGUUGUUGUCUGGUGUUAGUUCUCUAACCAAAGGACUCCUUUUAAUAGUCCUUGUAAAUUUGAUUUGGUUUUAACAUAUCCUCUUAAUUUCUGUUUAUCUGGAAAUGUCCUAAUUUCGCUAUCAUAUUUGAGCAAGAGUUUUACGGGAUAUAUUAUUCUUGAUUGACAUUUUUUUUUCUUUCAAGGUUUUAUAUAUGUCAUCCCAUUGCCUUCUUGCCUGCAUGGUUUCUGCUGAGUAAUCAGAGUUUAGUCUUAUUGUUUCCCCUCUGUAUGUGACUUUUUAUUUUUCUUGAGCUGCUCUCAGGAUCCUUUCUUUGUCUUUGGUUUUAGUGAGUAAUGUUAUGUCUUGGUGAUUUUCUUUUGGUGUCUGUCCUGUGUGGUGUUCGUUGAGCUUCUUGGAUGGUCAGCUUUUCAUCUUUCGUGAUAUUAGGGAAGUUUUCUGACAGCAAAUCUUCAAUGAUCUUCUCUGUGUUUUGUUUUCUCUCCCUGUUUUGGAACUCCGAUCACAUGCAGAUUUUUGCUUUUGAUUGUAUCCCAGUCUUUCUCAGUGUUUCUUCAUUCUUUCCUCUUUUCUCUGAUUUUUCCUCAAAGUGGUAUCCAAGGAAUUGUCUUUGAUUUCGCUGAUCCUGUCUUCCAUUGUUUCAAAUUUGCUUCUAAAACUUUUUAUUGCACUGUCAUUUCUGAAAUCUUGUUGUUUAUCUUUUGGCUUUCUAAUUGCUUUUCUUGUAUGAUUUCUAGUUGUUUAUUGUAUUAAAUUCCUGUAUUAUUUUCCUGAAUUCUUCCAUUGCUUUGUGUUUUCUGUGAUUUUGUCUGUAUUUUCCAUGGUUUUGUCUAUUUUUUCCUUAUUUUUGUCUGCAUUUUCCUUCAUCCCUUGGAGUGCACUGAAUAUUAAAGUUCUGAAUUCCCUAUCAGGUAGUUCCAGUGCCUUUUCUUUGACUGGAAGGUCAUCUGGUGUUUUAUUUUGGUAGCUUUCUAGAGCCAUCUUGUCCUUUUUUUAAAUACGAUUUUUGAUAUUGUCUGCUGCCUCUGGGACAUUCAGGAAUUAUUUUCUUCAUUUAUUGACCGUAGAUUUGUUUGUUUCUUUCUGCUUUAUUGUUUUAUUUGGUUUUGUCUGGCAGGUGGGCUGGGCGUGCUUUGUUGCACACUCACCUGUGGGCGCAAUACUUCUCACCACCUUGCCUAUGUGGACAGGGCCAGUUGCUCAGCUAUAGUGCAACAAGGCAGGUCCAGCGCAGGGGAGGGUUUGGGAUGGGUUGUUUGUGACAUGUACUGGGGUCGAUGGGGCGGGUCCAUGGCAGUGCAGGGCAGGAUCCAGUGGUUUAUGCUGCUUCUGCUCUGGGGCAUGGCACUUGCACGUGAUGCAGGUAGGCAGAGGGGAGGGAGAGCAUCUGAUGCUUGGAACUAAGUGGGUGAGAAAAAGAAGGAAAAAAAGGUGAUAAAUGGUGGCUUGGUAGGAUUCGGCAGGUGGUGGGGCAGACCUAUAGAGGCCGUGUACCAGUUGCUGUCUAGCUGAGCAGUGCAGCUCAGCCUGUUGAGAAGGGGCAUGAGUGGCACACAGGGCUAGGUGGGCAGGAGAAAGGAAAGUAAAGAGGAGAAACAACAAACAAAACAACAAUGACAAAAAAUGAGUACGGUGCUGGGGCAGCUGACCAUUUGUGGCAGGGCAGAAUUGGGUUGGUGGCGAGCUGAUAUCUCUCUCACUGGGUGCCACAGCACAGCCCAUCAGGAAGGGGCAGAGGCAGCUCAGGGCCUAGGUGGGAGGGUGAAGGAAAAGGGAGAGGAGUAAAGAUAAAGAAAAAUAAAAAAUAUGGUGCUGAGGGAGCCAGCAUGUUGUGGCAGUGCAGACCUGGGAAGGUCAUGUGCCAGAGGCUCUCUAGCCAAGCAAUAUAGCACAGCCUGUUGAGAAGGGGAGAGGGUGGCUCAUGGGGCUACGUGAGUGGGAGAAAGGAAAGGAAGGAAGGAGUGUGAGAGAAGAAACAACAACAACAAAAAGAAGGGAAAAAGCAAAAGCAAACAGCAACAACAAAAAAAAAAGGCGCUGAGAGAGCCUGCUGGUGGGGGCAACACAGACCCAGGGAGGCCGCGUGCUGGUGGCUCCCUAGGCAAGCAGUGUGGCACAGCCUGUCAAGAAGGGUUGGGGGAUGUCACACGUGGCUAGCUUGGCAGGAGAAAGGAAAGGAAGGAUGGAAGAGAUAUAGAAGAAACUGAAAGAAAAAAAAAUGACACUGAAGGAGCCUGCCAGUGGGGGCAGCAUGGACCAAGGGAGGCCAUGUGCUGGUGGCUCUCUAGCAGAGUGGUGUGACACAGCCCGUCAGGAAGGGGUGGGAAUGACACAUGGGCCAGGUGUGAAGGAGAAGGGAAAGGAGAGAAACAGAAGAAACCAGAAAAAAAAAAAAAAAAAGGCACUGAGGGAGCUCACCC